rnacentral:rRNA from 1 species
GACGAACGCUGGCGGCGUGCUUAACACAUGCAAGUCGAACGGAAAGGCCCUGCUUUUGUGGGGUGCUCGAGUGGCGAACGGGUGAGUAACACGUGAGUAACCUGCCCUUGACUUUGGGAUAACUUCAGGAAACUGGGGCUAAUACCGGCUAGGAGCUCCUGCUGCAUGGUGGGGGUUGGAAGGUUUCGGCGGUUGGUGAUGGACUCGCGCCUCAUCAGCUUGAUGGUUGGGUAGUGGAUUACCAAGGCUUUGACGGGUAGCCGGGCUGGGAGGGGGACCGGACCAACUGGACUGGAAAUGAGACACGGACUCCUCCCGGAGGGGAGGGAGCGGUAGAGAGUACUGGAGGAGGGAGGAAAGCGCAGUCAAGCAGUGUGGGGUGAGAGAGCCAUGGGUUAGGAAACCACAUUCGUCUGUCACGAGAUGAGAAUGACGGUAACGGGUGAAGAAGCUCCGGCUAACUACGUG